rnacentral:lncRNA from 1 species
CGGCAUUUGGCGGGGCUUUUGUCUCUCGCUGCAGCCAGAGCUUGGGAUCGCUUUCUGCUAUUCAACGUCCUCCACCUCUGCCCCCCUCUCGCCCCAGCCGGUGACAGGCUGUUGCCCUGUGAUCUGCAGGUCCUGGGACGUGCACAGACAGCUAAGAUGCCAGGACAUUCCAGAAGGUGGGAAAGGCACCUGAGUAAUUUGACUCUCCUGCCUGGACCCAGCGUACAGAUGGGAUUGUGCUUCAUUGCUGGACCCAGCAUUUAGGCCCACUACCUAUGAGAUUGCAUGCUCCUGCCUGGGCUGUGCCCACAGUGACCUUGUGACAUAUAUCUGCAUCCAUGACCUAAAAGAUGUGACACUUCUUGCCUGCAACCUGCCCUGCACAGGAAAGAUUGCGACUUCUCCCUGGAAGCAGACACCAGGAGAGAACUGUAACAUAUCCCUGGAUGAGCACCCAGGUGAUGUGAUAUUCCUGCUUGGUUCUUUCCCUCAGGGAAGAUUGUGAGAUACCCUUGGCUGAAAUCCCAGGGAUCGUCACUCCCGUGGAUGAUCAAAGGCGCCUGUAAUUUCAGCUACUCCGGGGGCUGAGGCAGGAGAAUCGCUUGAACUCGGGAAGCAGAAGUUGCAGUGAGCCAAGGUCGCACCACUGCACUCCAGCCCAGGCGACAUUGUGAGACUCCAUCUCAAAAAAAAAAAAAAGAAAAAAAGUGUACUAACAAGACCCAGCACACAGAGGAGACUUUUACCAUUGUAUGAACACCCAUCAAACAGUACACAUCAUCAUUGUGAGUUCUGAAUCUCACACAUAGAGGAAGUCAAAGGUGGAAAACUUGACUCUCAUAUUUGGAUCCAGUCCACAGGUGUGAUUUUGACGCACACUUCUGCCCAGCACCUGAGUAAUGUGAUUCUUCAGAAUUGGCCCGGCCCACAAAUAGGAUUGUGCCACACUGCUGGACCCAGUGCCUAAGUGAUGUAACUCUAUUCUUCUGCCUUGGUGCUACUCGAAAAAGACAUUGUAACAUAUCUCAGAGCCUUACACCCAGGUAAUGUGAGUCUCCUCUUCUGCCUUGCUGCUGCACACAGAAGCGGAAUAUGUACAGGAUUGUUAAUCUCAUCUUGGAUCUUCCUGCACUUGUGAUUGUGACACAUGCCUCUGUGUAGAACCUGAGUGAGUUUACUCUCCUGCCUGGAUUUAACCCAUAGAUGGAAUCGUGACAUAUCACUGUACCAGAAACUAGGUGAUGUGACUCUAUUUUCUUGCCUCUGUGUUUUUAUAUGGGGCAUCGUGACAUAUCACUGGGCCUUGCACCCAAGUGAUGGGAGUUUUCUCUCCUGCUUUGGUGCCGUCCACAAUGAAAAUUGUGAAAUAUUGCUGCCCUCCCCACUAGGUUAUGUUACUCUCCUGCCUCUGCUUUGCCCACAUGGGUCACUGUGACAUAUUGCUGGGUCUAAAACCCAGGUAAUGUCACUCUCUUGUUUGGGUUCUGCCUGCAGGAGUCAUUGUCACAUAUCUCUAUGCUCAUCACCCAGGUAAUAUGAUUCCCUUUUACUGCUUAGUUCCUUCUCACAAAACAACUUGUGACAUAUUGCUAGGCCCAAUACACCUAGCUGGUGUAACUCUUCUUUUCUUUUCUUUCCUUUUUUUUUUUUUUUUUUUGAGAUGGAGUCUCACUCUGUUGCCCAGGCUGGAGUGCAGCGGCAUGAUUUCAGCUCACUACAGCCUCUGCCUCCUAGGUUGAAGCGAUUGUCCUGACUUGGCCUCCCAAGUAGCUGGGAUUAAAGGCAUGUGCCACCACGCCCGGCUAAUUUUUGUAUUUAUAGUAGAGACAGGGUUUCGCCAUGUUGGCUAGGCUGGUUUCGAACUUCUAACCUCAGGUGAUCCUCCUGCCUCGGCCUCCCAAAGUACUGGAAUUACAGGCAUGAGCCACUGCACCUGGCCUGAUUCUUCUCUUCUUUCUAGGUUUCAACUGCAGCAGAGAUUGUAACAAACCACUGGGCCCAGCCGCAUAAUGAUGUUACUCUUUUGCCUUGGGCCUGCCCUCAGAAGGCACUGUCACAUAUUCAUGGGCCCAACGCCAAGGUGAUAUGUGUCUCCAGCCUGGACCCUGCCCACAGGGGGCAUUGUGACAUAUCUCUUGGCCCAUCAGAUGUUUGAUUGUUAUCCCCUCCCCUCUUCUACCCUGUGUUUGCCUAUAAAAGACACAGUCAUAUGUUCCUGGGCCCAGCACCUAGGUGUUGUCUUACUGGAAUGUGUCCACAUGGGGAUUGUGAUAUGUCACGUGGCCCAGUACUUAACUUGAUGUGACUCUCCUCUCAUGCCUAGGCCUUGUAGAGAAUCCCCUUCCCCUUUUGUUUUCCUUUUUUUCUUUGCAGAUCCAGGAGAUAAUCAACUAAGAGCCAGGCACCCGUUUAGGUCUAAUAAACAUUUUACAAACUGCUCUCUCUUUUAAUUCACCUAUCUGAGAGAUUCCUCUGUACAAUAAAACUUGGUCUCCACAAUCCUUUACCUUAACCUAAACCUUCCCUUUCAUUGAUCCCAGGUCUUCAGAUUCCACCACUUGUCAACCACAAAAUAUUUAAAUUUACCUGGAAGCCGCCCGCUUUGAGUUGUCCCGCCUUUCUGAACCAAACCAAUAUAUUCCUGCAAAACCGGCCAUGAUUAAAACAUCAAAAAAUAAUACAUGUUGGCGUGGCUGUGGUGAAAAAAGAAUACUUUUUCACUGCUGGUGGGUAUGUAAACUAGUACAACCACUAUGAAAAACAGUAUGGAGAUUCAUUAAAUAAAAGUAAAGCUACCAUUUGAUUAAGCAAUUCUACUACUGUGUAUCUACAUGAAGAAAAAGAAAUUAUAUGUGUAAGACACUUGCACACACAUGUUUAUAGCAGCACAAUUUGCAAUUGCAAAAAUAUGGAAGCAGCCUAAUGCCCAUCAGCUAAUGAGUGGAAAAAGAAAAUGUGGCAUAUAUAUACCAAUGCAUACUACUCAGCCCUAACGAGGAAUAAAAUAAUAGCAUUUGCAGCAAUCUCGAUUUAGUUGGAGACCAUUAUUCUAAGUAACUCAGCAAUAAAAAA